CGUCUUUUCAGUAUUUUUUAUUUUUUUUCUUCUUCUUCUUCUUUCCUUUCUCUCUUCUACUCUUUAUUUUUGUAGUGUUUUAUUCUGGUAGUUGACACGCGACUAUUUUUUUCUCCUAACUCGAGUUGUAAUCAAUAAUGCAUUUCACUUAUGAACGGACGAUUUCACUCGCCAUGUUUUGUUGUUAUGCACAACAUUUGAUUGGAGGAAGAAAAACUCGGUGGAGAUAUAGCACACAAAUGACGAUCGGAAUUAAUUAAGGGAUCUUUAUCGCAAACGAAACAACUUUCAGAAGACGGAACAGAAACGGAAAAGAAGGAAAAAAAAAUCUGCUAAAGUCCUUGUUUACACCUGAAGGAAAGAAAGUGGCACGUCUGAGAGUUUUUCAGUUGUCGUCUUAAUUUUUCUAUCUCUCUCUCUCUCCAGCGUAGAAUGAAUAAAUUAUAACGAAACUGAAUUCGAACCGAAUUUAUCACGCUGCAAAUUCUUUUAUAAGAGAGUCUCUGCUAAUGAAGAAAGGAUUCUUCAUUGUCUAAAAAGCGAGGAAUCGUUAUCUCUCUCUCUCUCUCUAGAUUACUCUGUGGAUGAGAUGUCACUGUAUCAUAAAAAGUCAACUGGUAUUUAUGACUGAUUCCCCGGUAGUAAUAAUAUGUUUACGAUGGGACACUGUAAAGACCCCUGAGUAUAAGAUGCAGUUUGGCCUGAAGGAAUUAGCUGCCAGUUGUCUAGUAAUUAGUAUAGUAGUCAACCUUGAUGUUUCUCAUCUACAACAUUCUUCACUAAUACAGCCUUGAAGGCAUCGCUUGGUCUCGAUUGAACGGAUCUAGUUAAUGAGCGGAAGUAUAAUACAUAGAGCCCUCGGUACGGUUUUCCAACGCUAUUUAUAGUCUAAUAACUUAUAUAUAUAUACAUAGAUUCGGUAUAUAUAUACAUAUACGAAAAAUUCGUAAAAAUUACAAAAAAAAAAGCGUGACAGAUACCCGGUUGCCUCCCAGGCUCGUUCUCAAUUAACGAAACAUCCGUGACUUGUUACAAUUAAUUCUGCUUUACGUGAUCGUACAUUCGAAGAUUAAAAGGAAAUAUCUAAUGCCCACUUUUGUUAAUACCCUUAUUUGCGCUGUUUGGAUUUAGUUUGACCACAAGUAGACGACUUAGCCAAAGAUUACAUCUCAAAAAUGACGCAGGGAAUUAAGCAGCCCUUUGUAUUUGUCUACUAUGAACUUUUUUCUUUCGAGUAGGGUUCUUAAACGGUGUACUUUAGUGUGUUUUUUUUUUCUCCCCUGUUUCCCUUGCAGGUAAAAGCAUUCCCAUCCAUUGCGUGGUUGAACAAAUCCAGAGUUGCAGUCAGGGG
rnacentral:lncRNA from 1 species